rnacentral:rRNA from 1 species
AUUGGACGCUGGCGGAAUGCCUAACACAUGCAAGUCGAGCGGAGUAGCAAUACUCAGCGGCGGACGGGUGAGGAAUACAUAGGAACUUGCCUUUAGGUGGGGGAUAGCUUGGGGAAACUCAAGGUAAUACCGCAUGAUCUCGCAAGAGCAAAGGGGCGCAAGUCUCGCCUUUACAGAGGCCUAUGUCUGAUUAGCUAGUUGGCGGUGUAAUAGACCACCAAGGCGACGAUCAGUAACUGGUCUGAGAGGACGAUCAGUCACACCGGAACUGGGACACGGUCCGGACUCCUACGGGAGGCAGCAGUGGGGAAUAUUGGACGAUGGGCGAAAGCCUGAUCCAGCAACUCCGCGUGUGUGAAGAAGGCCUUCGGGUUGUAAGGCACUUUAGUGAGGGAAGAAACAGCUUGGCCACACCAAGCCUUGACGGUACCUCAAGAAUAAGCACCGGCUAACUCUGUGCCAGCAGCCGCCGUAA